CGCGGCCUAUCAGCUUGUUGGUGAGGUAAAGGCUCACCAAGGCAUCGACGGGUAGCUGGUCUGAGAGGACGAUCAGCCACACUGGGACUGAGACACGGCCCAGACUCCUACGGGAGGCAGCAGUAGGGAAUCUUGCGCAAUGGGCGAAAGCCUGACGCAGCAACGCCGCGUGGGGGAAGAAGGCUCUAGGGUCGUAAACCCCUUUCAGCAGGGACGAAAAUGACGGUACCUGCAGAAGAAGCGCCGGCCAACUACGUGCCAGCAGCCGCGGUAAUACGUAGGGCGCAAGCGUUGUCCGGAUUUAUUGGGCGUAAAGGGCUCGUAGGCGGUUUGGUAAGUCGGGUGUGAAAACUCAGGGCUCAACUCUGAGACGCCACUCGAUACUGCCAUGACUAGAGUCCGGUAGGGGAGUGCGGAAUUCCUGGUGUAGCGGUGAAAUGCGCAGAUAUCAGGAGGAGCACCAACAGCGAAGGCAGCACUCUGGGCCGGUACUGACGCUGAGGAGCGAAAGCGUGGGGAGCAACCAGGAUUAGAUACCCUGGUAGUCCACGCCGUAAACGUUGGGCACUAGGUGUGGGUCCCAUCCAACGGGAUCCGCGCCGCAGCUAACGCAUUAAGUGCCCCGCCUGGGGAGUACGG
rnacentral:rRNA from 1 species